AUUGAACGCUGGCGGCAGGCCUAACACAUGCAAGUCGAACGGUAACAGGAAGCAGCUUGCUGCUUUGCUGACGAGUGGCGGACGGGUGAGUAAUGUCUGGGAAACUGCCUGAUGGAGGGGGAUAACUACUGGAAACGGUAGCUAAUACCGCAUAACGUCGCAAGACCAAAGAGGGGGACCUUCGGGCCUCUUGCCAUCGGAUGUGCCCAGAUGGGAUUAGCUAGUAGGUGGGGUAACGGCUCACCUAGGCGACGAUCCCUAGCUGGUCUGAGAGGAUGACCAGCCACACUGGAACUAAGACACGGUCCAGACUCCUACGGGAGGCAGCAGUGGGGAAUAUUGCACAAUGGGCGCAAGCCUGAUGCAGCCAUGCCGCGUGUAUGAAGAAGGCCUUCGGGUUGUAAAGUACUUUCAGCGGGGAGGAAGGGAGUAAAGUUAAUACCUUUGCUCAUUGACGUUACCCGCAGAAGAAGCACCGGCUAACUCCGUG
rnacentral:rRNA from 1 species